rnacentral:lncRNA from 1 species
CUUUGUUAACACUUUUGUUUUCUUUGCUCUCAUUUGGUUGCCAUUUUUCUUUGUCCCCCUCCCCCAGCCCCUUUCGGUGUCUCAAGUUUUUGUUUGUUUUUUUUUGUUUUGUUGUUUUAUUCACCUUCCCCCGAGUGUUUGCCUCGUGUUUGCCUCAGUGUCUGCUCCUCCAGGUUCUUUUGGGAUGACUGUCAGUUAAGCCAUCCUGGUGGCUGCCCUGGAGAAAACCAGCAUCUUGUUAGGCCUGAAAGUACAAACUGCAGUCUGAGGAGGUGAGGAGCCAAGGCAUAAUUCUUGGAGGAUUUCAGGGGGUUGCAAGAAACAGUAUUGAAACAAUGAAGCACUGAGGUAAAAAAAAAUCUUGAUAUUCAACAAGGAAUGAAGUAUACAGACUUAUCAAGCAAACAUCAGUUUACAUACUGAUACCACCAGUUCUUCACCAUGCUCUUAGGAAUUGCAAACCGUAAAUUGAAACCAGCUUUUUUCUUUUUCUAUUUCACUUCAGCUGUAUUCUUUUCCAUAGGCAGGUCAGUCUCUUUGUGUUUGAAGUAAUCACCUGUCAAAUUGGAAUCUAAAACACAGUUUGAGCUAAGCAUGGUAUACAUUGUGUAUGUAGUGGAAAGCAAGUUGGAGUGCCCAGCACACAUUGAAGGCAGACAAUACCCAAGUGUCCAAACGGAGUUUGGAGCAGGGAAAGGUUUAUUGCAAGGCUGUGCAAGGAGAUGAGUGGCUCAUGCCCUCCAAACUCCCCUAAGGCUUUCAGCAAUGGGUUUUUAAAGGCAAAGUGAGGGAGGGGUUAUGUGUUGGCUGUUGCAAACUUCCUGGUGAAGGAAUCUUUUGUUCUUUUUUUUUUUUUUUUUUUGGUCUUUUUUGGACUGCACCCGAAGCAUAUGGAGGUUCCCCGGCUAGGGGUCAAAUCAGAAUUGUAGCCACUGACCUACACCACAGCUCACCACAAUGCCAAAUCCUUAACCCGCUGAGCAAAGCCAGGGAUUGCACCUGCAUCCUCAUGGAGGCUAGUCAGAUUUGUUUCUGCUGAGCUACAAUGGAAACUCCUUUUGUUGUUGUUGUUGUUGUUCUUGAAGCUGUCUGCAUAGGUCAGGUCAGGAUGGUCUUGUAAACCUCCAACCAGACACAUGUUUUUCUCUGUUCUGAAAUUUUUCCUCUCUAUAGGAAUGGGAAAAUGUUACACUGUUAAAGGUGGAAGCAUAGAGAAUAGGCUAUCCUGUCUAUUUCAGGCUAUAGGCAACAUUCUUAACUGGAGACAAAAGCAAUAGAAUGUAAAGUUUAAAAGAAACAGAUUUAAUAUGGAGUCAGAUUUGUUCUUCCCUAUUACCUGAAUACACACAUAUGUAUAUAUUUUAAUAUUUUUCUUUUUCUCUCUAUAUAUAUCAUGGGAGGUUUUUUAAUUUACAUUUUUGGUUUCAGGAUUUCUGAGGUCAUUGGCAUAGAAGACCUGAUGGUGGUCUUGCUGUCUUUGUUUAUAGUUACAAAGCUGUAGGAAGAGCACUGGGCAUCCCAAAGCCACAGGCUUCCCUGAAACUUGGCCACUUACUGCCUGUGGGCAUAGCUGCGGUCCUACUCUCUGGAUCGGAGUGUCCUUCUCUAAUAAGUGACAGGCACCAUUGGCCUAGACAAGAGUCAGGUCAUCUUUACCCCAUUGUGGCCCUAAUGACACCCUAAUCUGCAUCACAGCCAAAGUAAGAUCAGUUCAAGGCAAUGGGCAGUGUAAUUAGAAAUAGGUAGAAAGCUGAGACUAUAAAUGCCCUUCUGACUAAUGUCCACAACUUCCUUGAUAAGUUAGUUCAGUGCCACUACGGCUAUUGGGCCAGCCCAGAAAGAAAUGUUCUUGACUUCAAAAGAGUGGGGAACUAAGAGAGAGUCUUUCCCUUCUUAAGCUUUGCUAGAGUGUGAACACCAGGCGAUUUGAGAGUUUUAGUUUUUGCUGAGAACAAGUGUAAGUGGGGCUUAAGUACAGAGAAAUGAGACACCAAGGCCUUUUACCAGGAAGAAGCGUUUAUUCGUGCUGGCACUGGCUCAGCAGAUUAGUAUCCAGAGGCUGAGCCCCAAACACAGUGGGGCACCGCCUUAUAUACCCCACUUAUUUUUCCCGUUACACCUAAGUUUCUUUGUCCCCCUUAUCAGGCAUGCUAUAAAUUUUAGGCAGACAACUAUAGUUACACCUGCGCUCAAGGAUAUAGGUCGUGCUUCAUCACUACAGAACUACGCAUGCAUAUACAGAUGCUGGCGGUGCUGCACGUCUCCUUCCCUUUAAUCUGGGAGAGCACAGCCCCCUCCCACUACACAACCAGCUCAAGAUCCCAAUAGAAUCAUGACUUCCUUUACCUGCUGGCUGACUUUGUGUUGGCUGAUCAAUUAUUUAUAGAGCAUCUUCUAUAAGAAUAAAAUGUCCUUGACGCCCUAGAGCAUAUUGUCACAAGCACAACAUUGUGCUCUAGAGGCACUCAAACCUUAAUUAGAGAGACUAGCUAUGGCUACCUUAAAACAUCAUUGAGGAAUUCCUGCUAUGGCACAGUGGGUUAAGAAUCCGACUGCAACAGCUUGGGUCACUGCAGAGGUGAGGGUUCAAGCCCCAGCCUGGCACAGUGGGUUAAAGGAUCUGGCAUUGCUGCUGCUGCUACAGUGUAGGUCACACCUGCAGCUCAGAUUCAAUCCCUGGCCUGGAAACUCCUAUAUGCAGCGGGCUCAGCCAUAAAAUAAAGAAAUGAAAAAUCGUUGAAAUCAAGGAAAGACUGAGGAACUGUUUCAGGUUGAAGGAGGCCAAAGAGACAUGACAACUAAAUGCUACAUGUGAUCAGAACUGAAUUCUUUUGUGAGAAAGGCCAUUUUUGGGGCAAUUGCUGAAUGUGGAAUGGUGUCUGAGGAUAAAAUAGCCACAGCAUAUCAAUGUUACUUUCCUGAUUUAGAUGAUGAUGUUAUAAGUUGUGAAGGAGAAUGUUCUUGAAGAAAAUCUAUCCUUAAGUAUUCCAGAGUGAUGGAGUAUCAAGUUGGCAACUUACUGUCAUUGGAAAAAUGUUCUUUAAACUUCCGGUAACAACCAACCUGGUGUGUCUGGGACAGUCCCAGCUUUAGCAUUAACAGCUGUGUGUUUGGGCAACACCUCAGCCCCAGGCAACUGGGGAUGGUUGGCCACCCUCUUUUUAUCAUACUUAUUGUUACUAUCCUGUUAGUUUGAGUUGCUUGCUUCAAAAUAAAUAUUUUGAUAAAAAAAUUAGAUGACUCAAGUAAUAAUAAUUCAAAUGACUGAUACAAGUGUUCAGCCAAGAAGCAGUACAUGCUUAGUUUCCGAGCAGUGGUACAGCCAGUAUGUGAUGUAGUUGGCAGAAAUGAUCAUGUUAAGCUGGAAUGGUCAGAGGUGGCUGAUGUCACCAACAGGGAUGACAGGAGUACUGUAUGCUGAGGAAUCCUGCCAGUUCCCAACACCCACCACUGUGGUGCUGCAGACCUUGGCCCUGCUGAUCUCAAUCCAGCUGACCUUGAACAAGUUACUUUCCCAUUGCCUGCGUCCGUCUUCUCAUCUGCAAGAUAAGAAUGUCGUGUAGUGGAUUUCCAACAUUUUUAUCAAUAAGGGAAACUUUAUUCUUUUUUUUUUCUUUUGUUUUUAGGGCCACACCAAGGCAUAUGGAAGUUCCCAGGCCAGGGGUCAAAUCAGAGCUGCAUCUGCCCACCUACGCCACAGCCACAGCAACACCAGAUCUGAGACAUGUCUGCAACCUACACCAGAGCUCACGCCGGAUCCUCAACCCACCGAGCAAGGCCAGGGAUCCAGCCCACAUCCUCAAAGAUAGUUGGAUUAUUUUCUACUGCGCCACAACAGGAACUCCCAGGACCUUUAUCCUUUAAGGCGGUCUCGCCAUUUAAGAAGCAGUGGAACUGUUCUAAUUGAAGUACAUAAAGUGUUUCUACUCUUGCCACCCCCUGGGCCUCUCUCAAGCCCCUUGCCCUGUGCUUUCUCUGAUCCUCCUUGCAGCCCUAGAGCUCUGUAGAGUGCAGAGUGAAAGGCACUGGGCUGGAAAAUAUUUGUUAUUUAUAAUGAUCUUUUCCCCACUUUACACUGGUUAUCAUUUGUUUUGUGUAUGGUAUGAAUACUUAAGAUCUGCCUUCUUAGCAAAUUUCAAGUUACAACAGUGUUAUCAGCUAUAGUCAUUGUUAAAAUCUAAUGCUGUACAUCAGAUCCCCGGAACUUAGUCAUCUUUUAAUUGGAAGUUUGUGCACUUUGCCCAACGUCUUCCCACCUCCCAGGCUCCAACAAACACCAUUUUACUUUCUGUUUUUGUGAAUUCAGCUUUCUUUAGAUUCCACAUAGAAGUGACAUCAUCCCGUAUUUCUUUCUGUGUCUGGCUUGUCACUUGAUAUCAUACCCUCAGGUUUAUCCAUGUUGUUGCAAAUGGCACGAUUUCCUUUAUAUAUAUUUCACAUCUUCUUUUUCAUUCAUCUGUUGACACUUAGGUUGUUUCUAUAACUUGGCUGUUGUGAGCAAUCCUGCAGUGAAUGUGGGAGUGCAGAUAUCUUUUUGAGAUGCUGAUUUCAUUUUCUUUGGAUGUAUACCCAGAAGUGGGAUUGCUGGAACAUAUGGUAGUUCCGUUUUUAUUUUUUUGAGUGGAAACAAUUAACAAAAUGAAAAAGCAACAUAUGGAAUAGGAGAAAAUAUUUGCAGAUGAUGUUUCUGAUAAGGGAUUAAUUUCCAAAUAGCCAAAAAAAAAAAUACCUUAAAUAACCAGAUUAAAAAUGGAUAAAGGUUCUGAGUAGAAAUUUCUCCAAAGAAUAUGUACAAUGGCCAACAGGUAUAUAAAAAUGCGCUCAACAUUAUGAAACAUAGGGGGUAAAUCAAGACACAUUGAGAUGUUACCUCACACUGUUUAGGAUGGCUAUUAGUGGGGAAAAAAAAAAAAGAUAGGGUGGUGAGGAUGUGAAGGAAAGGGAGGAAAUCCUUGAGCCUUUUUGGUAGGAGUGUAAUUGGUACAGCCAUGACAGAAAACAGCAUGGAGGUUUCCUUUCCUUCUCUGAUUGUAUGGGUUCCUUUCCCCUAGAAAAUUCCAUGCUGCAAAUAUAUGUUACUUCCAGAACAGAUAGGGUGUCUUCAGAAACUGUUUUAUCAAAGUGCAUAGAUACUUUGAGAGUUUAAGAGGAAGUAUCCAUUUAUUAUUAACAUCAGCAUUGUUUGUAUAGUUUUAUAAUUUAUUGUCAUUUAGUAACACCUAGGAAUGCAUUUGAUUUAUGAGAUUGAUUUUCUUUUUUUUUUUAUAAUUUUUUUAUUUUCCCACUGUACAGCAAGGGGUUCAGGUUAUCCUUACAUGUAUACAUUACAAUUACAUUUUUCCCCCACCCUUUGUUCUGUUGCAACAUGAGUAUCUAGACAAAGUUCUCAAUGCUAUUCAGCAGGAUCUCCUUGUAAAUCUAUUCUAAGUUGUGUCUGAUAAGCCCAAGCUCCUGAUCCCUCCCACUCCCUCCCCCUCCCAUCAGGCAGCCACAAGUCUCUUCUCCAAGUCCAUGAUUUUCUUUUCUGAGGAGAUGUUCAUUUGUGCUGGAUGUUAGAUUCCAGUUAUAAGUGAUAUUAUAUGGUAUUUGUCUUUGUCUUUCUAGCUCAUUUCACUCAGUAUGAGAUUCUCUAGUUCCAUCCAUGUUGCUGCAAAUGGCAUUAUGUCAUUCUUUUUUAUGGCUGAGUAGUAUUCCAUUGUGUAUAUAUACCACCUCUUCUGAAUCCAAUCAUCUGUCGAUGGACAUUUGGGUUGUUUCCAUGUCCUGGCUAUUGUGAAUAGUGCUGCAAUGAACAUGCGGGUGCAUGUGUCUCUUUUAAGUAGAGAUUUGUCCAGAUAGAUGCCCAAGAGUGGGAUUGCGGGGUCAUAUCGCAGUUCUAUGUAUAGAUUUCUAAGGUAUCUCCAAACUGUUCUCCAUAGUGGCUGUACCAGUUUCCAUUCCCACCAGCAGUGCAGGAGGGUUCCCUUUUAUGAGAUUGAUUUUCUAUUGGGCAUAGAAUCAAAUGUAGCCUGAGGGCACAAAACAGGGAUCAGAGAAGGGGAGGGUAGAGGUUCAGUCUAGGAACAGGACUAAGUCAAUAGAACAUGACUUUCUGAACAUAAGAUCCUGCCUUCAGCUUGAAAAGUCUUCUUAGAAAACAACCUAAGAGUCAUUAUACUUUUGGUAUGAGAAUUAACUGGAGUUCCCAUGUGGCUCAGUGGGAAUGAACCUGACUAGCAUCCAUGAGGACUCAGGUUCACUCCCUGGCCUUGCUCAGUGGGCAAGAGAUCCAGCAUUGCCAUGAGCUGUGGUGUAGGUCACAGACAUGGCUCAGAUCUGGCAUUGCUGUGGUGGAGGCUGGCAGCUGUAGCUCCAAUUCGACCCCUAGCCUGGGAACCUCCAUAUGCUGAAAGUAUGACCGUAAAAAUUAAAAAAAAAAAAAA